AACGUGGGUAACCUGCCCAUCAGAGGGGGAUAACAUCCGGAAACGGAUGCUAAAACCGCAUAGGUCUUCGAACCGCAUGGUUUGAAGAGGAAAAGAGGCGCAAGCUUCUGCUGAUGGAUGGACCCGCGGUGCAUUAGCUAGUUGGUGAGGUAACGGCUCACCAAGGCCGUGAUGCAUUGCCGACCUGAGAGGGUGAUCGGCCACAUUGGGACUGAGACACGGCCCAA
rnacentral:rRNA from 1 species